UAAGCGCGUCACUUUGUGUGAGCGACAUAUCAUUGCAGGUAUAGAAUUGUGAUCUCAGACAAGUUAUGAUUUAUAUCAUUUUGUAUACAUUGGGGGAUCGUGAAGAUUUUAUCAGUGAGAAUUUGCUCUCAGAAGGGCAAUGAUAAAUUUUAAACUAUCGGACAUAGUACGAUAAGGUUGUAUGUCUAAAGGGAAACAGCCCAGAACAAGAGUUAAAGGUUCCAAAAUUAUUGUUAAGUGAAAAAAAAGGAAGUAUUUUUCUAAUACAACCAGGAAAUAGGCUUAGAAGCGGCCAUUUUUUUAAGACCUCGUAACAGAGCACUGGUUUAAUUUUCUUUGGAAGCGCAAGCUUUUAAGAAAAACAGUUAAAAGCAUCAAAAAUUUAACGGAUCUAAACAAUAUACCUAAACCUUGUCCAUAAACAAUUGUUUGUGGGGUAGCAGAACAUUGGGUAAAUCUUAGAUUUAAUUUUUUCAAAAUUAGUUAAGCUUACAUCUAAUACAAAAGAUUACACGCUCACUUCAUUUUUUUUUUCUUGCAAAGCAUGAAAAAAAGACAAAGUCUGUGAAGCGUUUGAUUUAAUAGAUGAUUUAAGUGAGAUUACCCCAAGAGAUAAUGCUGACAUGAGUAACGAAAAAGGGACAUCCCCUCGCCUUAAGCUUAUGGUAUUUAAUUUAAAGUAACGGCCUCUAAGUUUAUUUAAACGACCUAAAGGAUUAAAUGAUGAGAAAAUCUUUAAGUAUAUCUAACAACAUUCCAAAAAAAGUUAAUGUAUUAACCUUUUGGUUAAGGAAUGUUCUGGAAAAAGAUAUAUAUGUUAUUAACCGUACCUAAAUACUACCACAAGUAAGCAAGUAGAGUAUACAAAGGCGU
rnacentral:rRNA from 1 species